rnacentral:rRNA from 1 species
GAGUUUGAUCAUGGCUCAGGAUGAACGCUAGCGGCAGGCCUAACACAUGCAAGUCGAGGGGCAGCAUAAGAAUAGUUUACUAUUCUGGUGGCGACCGGCGCACGGGUGCGUAACGCGUAUGCAACCUACCUUAUACUGGGGAAUAGCCCGAAGAAAUUCGGAUUAAUGCCCCAUAGUACUGAGACUUCACCUGAAGAUUCAGUUAAAGCUUCGGCGGUAUAAGAUGGGCAUGCGUCCUAUUAGCUAGUUGGUAAGGUAACGGCUUACCAAGGCUACGAUAGGUAGGGGGCCUGAGAGGGUGAUCCCCCACACUGGUACUGAGACACGGACCAGACUCCUACGGGAGGCAGCAGCGAGGAAUAUUGGUCAAUGGGCGCAAGCCUGAACCAGCCAUGCCGCGUGAAGGAUGAAGGUUCUAUGGAUUGUAAACUUCUUUUAUUUGGGAAUAAACCUCUUUACGUGUAGAGAGCUGAAGGUACCAAACGAAUAA